CCCUGCUUGGUGGAAUGCCACUCUCCAAGAUGGGAAUGCUUUCUUUUAAUAUACUGGUAUCUGUAUCUCAAAGUGCAUCUGUCAGCAACUGUGGUGAACUCUUCCCUAGUUUCACAAACCCUAUGAGUCUCAUGAGUUUUCUGCAGAAGGCUGAGCACAGAUGAAGUAGAGCAGAAAGGGAGAGGGUGUCAAACUUUAAGUCAGCAAGUCCAGACUCCUUGCAAACAGAGCGUAUCACACGUAGGACUUCAAUGCCACAGUUAACUCUCCACCUGCACAGCUGUAAGGAGAUAGUGCUCAAAUGUCUUGGUAGAGACCACUAACCUGUUCUACAGUACCCUGCAAGUGAGAAAAAUGGGAGACUAAAGAAGAUGCAGCAAGUUUUAUAAAAUAAUGAAAUUGAACUAUUGAAGCUACAGAUUCCCUCCAACUGAAACCACUGGUUAUAUAUUCAUGAAUUUUACAUUUCUGAAGAUGGCUCAUGGUCUCCUGUGGGACUAUAUAUUAGAAUAAUUUUCUAAAGCUUACUCAAGUAGAAGGACAGAAGCUGAUGCCUCUGGUAUUAAUGAAUAAACUUUCUUUGUAAAUAAAUAAGU